rfam:Schistosoma margrebowiei strain Zambia genome assembly, scaffold: SMRZ_contig0000433
AUCCAGCUGACGAGUCUCAAAUAGGACGAAACGCGCGUUCUGGAU